rnacentral:rRNA from 1 species
GACGAACGCUGGCGGCGUGCUUAACACAUGCAAGUCGAACGGAAAGGCUCCAGCUUGCUGGAGUACUCGAGUGGCGAACGGGUGAGUAACACGUGGGUAAUCUGCCCUGCACUCUGGGAUAAGCCUGGGAAACUGGGUCUAAUACUGGAUAUGACCUUUCUCCUUAUGGGGUUUGGUGGAAAGUUUUUCGGUGUAGGAUGAGCCCGCGGCCUAUCAGCUUGUUGGUGGGGUGAUGGCCUACCAAGGCGACGACGGGUAGCCGGCCUGAGAGGGUGAUCGGCCACAUUGGGACUGAGAUACGGCCCAGACUCCUACGGGAGGCAACAGUGGGGAAUAUUGCACAAUGGGCGGAAGCCUGAUGCAGCGACGCCGCGUGAGGGAUGACGGCCUUCGGGUUGUAAACCUCUUUCAGCAGGGACGAAGCGUAAGUGACGGUACCUGCAGAAGAAGCACCGGCUACUAUGUG